GACGAACGCUGGCGGCGUGCUUAACACAUGCAAGUCGAACGGAAAGGCCCUGCUUUUGUGGGGUGCUCGAGUGGCGAACGGGUGAGUAACACGUGAGUAACCUGCCCUUGACUUUGGGAUAACUUCAGGAAACUGGGGCUAAUACCGGAUAGGAGCUCCUGCUGCAUGGUGGGGGUUGGAAAGUUUCGGCGGUUGGGGAUGGACUCGCGGCUUAUCAGCUUGUUCGUGGGGUAGUGGCUUACCAAGGCUUUGACGGGUAGCCGGCCUGAGAGGGUGACCGGCCGCAGUGGUGCGGGCGAGCGCCCCCAGCUGCGGCGGGAGGCAGCGGUGGGGCAGAGCGCACGCGGGGCGGACGCCUGAGGCCGCAGCGCGGGGUGCGGGCUGCCGGCCGCGGGGUGGUCAACCGCUUUCGCGUGUGACGAGGGGUGGGCGACGGUAAGGGGACAAGAAGAACCGGCAAACUACGCGCCAGCAGCCGCGCUAAUAAUCGGAACAGCACCCGUCCGACC
rnacentral:rRNA from 1 species